GUGAGGAAUAUUGCGCAAUGGAGGCAACUCUGACGCAGCCAUGCCGCGUGCAGGAAGAAGGCGCUACGCGUUGUAAACUGCUUUUAACCGGGAAGAAACCCCAGGACGUGUCCUGGGUUGACGGUACCGGAGGAAUAAGCACCGGCUAACUUCGUGCCAGCAGCCGCGGUAAUACGAAGGGUGCAAGCGUUAUCCGGAUUCAUUGGGUUUAAAGGGUGUGUAGGCGGAGCGUUAAGUCAGUGGUGAAAUCCUGCAGCUUAACUGUAGACUUGCCAUUGAUACUGGCGCUCUUGAGUGCGCUUGAAGUGGGCGGAAUGUGCCGUGUAGCGGUGAAAUGCUUAGAUAUGGCACAGAACACCAAUUGCGAAGGCAGCUCACUAAGGCGAUACUGACGCUGAGGCACGAAAGCGUGGGGAUCGAACAGGAUUAGAUACCCUGGUAGUC
rnacentral:rRNA from 1 species